rnacentral:rRNA from 1 species
UACGUAGGGUGCGAGCGUUAAUCGGAUUUACUGGGCGCAAAGCGUGCGCAGGCGGCCGUGAAAGUCCGGUGUGAAAACUCACGGCUCAACCGUGGGACUGCGCUGGAAACUACACGGCUUGAGGACGGUAGAGGGAGACGGAACUGCUGGUGUAGGGGUGAAAUCCGUAGAUAUCAGCAGGAACGCCGGUGGGGAAGCCGGUCUCCUGGGCCGUUCCUGACGCUGAGGCCCGAAAGCUAGGGGAGCAAACCGG